rnacentral:lncRNA from 1 species
UAAAGACCUCUGUAAUAUAUGACCAGAAGGAGGUCACACACACACACACACACACACACACACACACACACACACACACACACACACACGGGAACUGGAGAAAGAGAUUGAGAGAAUUGAAAAAAUGGAGAGAGGGAAGAGAUUGAUACUCCCCUCUUCCCCUUGGAUUUGUCUUUCAGAGGGACAGAGAUUGGGUUUGGGAGAUAGAGAUUGAGGACUGGAGGAGGAAGUCUUGGAGAAAUGACCCUCUGCCUCCCUUCUUGAUCUUAGCUGUUACUGAGAGACAGCUUGAACCAGAGAGAUUUAAGGGUUCACUGGAAGAUAGUCAGUGUCCAGAAGGAUCCUCCAUUUCAGAGGGCUUCCUUUCAGACCGUCCACUCCAGGAGAGAACUGACCAGAAGUAAGUUGGAAGUUUUUAAUUCUCCCAGCUCAUUUGUUCCUUCCUGGAAUCCUGAGUCUU